CAGCCGCCACGGUAAUACGUAGGUGGCAAGCGUUGUCCGGAUUUAUUGGGCGUAAAGCGAGCGCAGGCGGUCAAUUAAGUCUGAUGUGAAAGCCCCCGGCUCAACCGGGGAGGGUCAUUGGAAACUGGUUGACUUGAGUGCAGAAGAGGAGAGUGGAAUUCCAUGUGUAGCGGUGAAAUGCGUAGAUAUAUGGAGGAACACCAGUGGCGAAGGCGACUCUCUGGUCUGUAACUGACGCUGAGGCUCGAAAGCGUGGGUAGCAAACAGGAUUAGAGACCCCUGUAGUCCCUGUCUCUUAUAC
rnacentral:rRNA from 1 species